rnacentral:rRNA from 1 species
AGUGAACGCUGGCGGUAGGCCUAACACAUGCAAGUCGAACGGCAGCACAGUAAGAGCUUGCUCUUACGGGUGGCGAGUGGCGGACGGGUGAGGAAUACAUCGGAAUCUACUUUUUCGUGGGGGAUAACGUAGGGAAACUUACGCUAAUACCGCAUACGACCUACGGGUGAAAGCAGGGAUCUUCGGACCUUGCGCGAUUGAAUGAGCCGAUGUCGGAUUAGCUAGUUGGCGGGGUAAAGGCCCACCAAGGCGACGAUCCGUAGCUGGUCUGAGAGGAUGAUCAGCCACACUGGAACUGAGGCACGGUCCAGACUCCUACGGGAGGCAGCAGUGGGGAAUAUUGGACAAUGGGCGCAAGCCUGAUCCAGCCAUACCGCGUGGGUGAAGAAGGCCUUCGGGUUGUAAAGCCCUUUUGUUGGGAAAGAAAAGCAGCAGGUUAAUACCCCGCUGUUCUGACGGUACCCAAAGAAUAAGCACCGGCUAACUUCGUG